rnacentral:rRNA from 1 species
UACGUAGGGGGCAAGCGUUGUCCGGAUUUAUUGGGCGUAAAGAGCGUGUAGGCGGCUUGGUAGGUCCGCUGUGAAAACUCGAGGCUCAACCUCGAGAUGUCGGCGGAAACCACUUGGCUAGAGUCCGGAAGAGGAGAGUGGAAUUCCUGGUGUAGCGGUGAAAUGCGUAGAUAUCUGGAGGAACACCGGUGGCGAAGGCGGCAUCCUGGACCGGUAUUGACGCUGAGGAGCGAAAGCCAGGGGAGCAAACGGG